CACGUAGGCACCAAGCGUUAUCCGGAUUUAUUGGGCGUAAAGGGCUCGUAGGCGGUCUGUCGCGUCGGGAGUGAAAACUCAGGGCUUAACCCUGAGCCUGCUUCCGAUACGGGCAGACUAGAGGUAUGCAGGGGAGAACGGAAUUCCUGGUGUAGCGGUGAAAUGCGCAGAUAUCAGGAGGAACACCGGUGGCGAAGGCGGUUCUCUGGGCAUUACCUGACGCUGAGGAGCGAAAGUGUGGGGAGCGAACAGG
rnacentral:rRNA from 1 species